rnacentral:rRNA from 1 species
UAAUUGAAGAGUUUGAUCAUGGCUCAGAUUGAACGCUGGCGGCAGGCCUAACACAUGCAAGUCGAGCGGCAGCACAGAGGAACUUGUUCCUUGGGUGGCGAGCGGCGGACGGGUGAGUAAUGCCUGGGAAAUUGCCCGGUAGAGGGGGAUAACCAUUGGAAACGAUGGCUAAUACCGCAUAACCUCGCAAGAGCAA